UUACUGGNCAGUUACUGACGCUGAGGAGCGAAAGCNUGGGGAGCGAACAGGAUUAGAUACCCUGGUAGUNCAUGCUGUAAACGGUGGGCGCUAGGUGUGGGCUGUGUGUUUGCAGUCUGUGCCGUAGCUAACGCAUUAAGCGCCCCGCCUGGGGAGUACGGCCGCAAGGCUAAAACUCAAAGGAAUUGACGGGGGCCCGCACAAGCGGCGGAGCAUGUGGAUUAAUUCGAUGCAACGCGAAGAACCUUACCUGGGUUUGACAUGCACCAGAUCGGCGUAGAGAUACGUCUUCCCUUGUGGUUGGUGCACAGGUGGUGCAUGGUUGUCGUCAGCUCGUGUCGUGAGAUGUUGGGUUAAGUCCCGCAACGAGCGCAACCCUUGUCUUAUGUUGCCAGCACAUUUUUGGUGGGGACUCAUGAGAAACUGCCGGGGUCAACUCGGAGGAAGGUGGGGAUGACGUCAAAUCAUCAUGCCCUUUAUACCCAGGGCUUCACACAUGCUACAAUGGUCGGUACAACGGGUUGCGACACUGUGAAGUGAAGCUAAUCUCUCAAAGCCGGCCUCAGUUCGGAUUGGGGUCUGCAACUCGACCCCAUGAAGUCGGAGUCGCUAGUAAUCGCAGAUCAGCAACGCUGCGGUGAAUACGUUCCCGGGCCUUGUACACACCGCC
rnacentral:rRNA from 1 species